rnacentral:rRNA from 1 species
UACGUAGGGGGCAAGCGUUGUCCGGAUUUAUUGGGUACGUAAGCGCUCGCAGGUGGUCCGUUGCGUCGAUGCGGUGAAAGACCCCGGCUCAACUGGGGAGGGUCGUGCGAUACGGGCGGACUGGAGGCCAGUAGGGGGAUGCGGAAUUCCGGGUGUAGUGGUGGAAUGCGUAGAGAUCCGGAGGAACACCAGCGGCGAAGGCGGCAUCCUGGACUGGUCCUGACACUCAGGAGCGAAAGCGUGGGGAGCGAUCCGG